GAUGAACGCUGGCGGCGUGCCUAAUACAUGCAAGUCGAGCGAACAGAUAAGGAGCUUGCUCCUUUGACGUUAGCGGCGGACGGGUGAGUAACACGUGGGUAACCUACCUAUAAGACUGGAAUAACUCCGGGAAACCGGGGCUAAUGCCGGAUAACAUUUAGAACCGCAUGGUUCUAAAGUGAAAGAUGGUUUUGCUAUCACUUAUAGAUGGACCCGCGCCGUAUUAGCUAGUUGGUAAGGUAACGGCUUACCAAGGCAACGAUACGUAGCCGACCUGAGAGGAUGAUCAGCCACACUGGAACUGAGACACGGUCCAGACGCCUACGGGAGGAAGCAGUGGGGAAUAUUGGACAAUGGGCGCAAGCCUGAUCAAGCCAUACCGCGUGGGUGAAGAAGGCCUUCGGGUUGUAAAGCCCUUUUGUUGGGAAAGAAAAGCAGCAGGUUAAUACCCCGCUGUUCUGACGGUACCCAAAGGAUAAGCACCGGCUAACUUCGUG
rnacentral:rRNA from 1 species